UACUUUACUUGCUAUUGCUUUAAGAACGAUUGUUAUCCUUAUCCUUCAUUUGUUAGCCAUCACCCCAAGCCUCGUUACAACCCUUAACUUCAUCUUGAGUGUCAUGCGUUUCAAUAUGUGGAGUUUGAAAUUGAUAUAAGCAUAUGGUGUCACUGGUUCUCGCAUCUAAGUAGUAGCAUUCCAUUCAUGAGAUCAUAUCUAAACAUGCUUAUUAACUCCAGAAAUUGCUUUCUUUGUGAUACAUAUAUGUGAGCGUUAGUUUUCAUAGCUACAUCAAUCUUCUUACAUAUAACUAGUAUAGGGUGUGUAGUUAGAAAAUCUGAGUGAAAAUUGAGUGCAUAUCUUGUAAGGAAUUGAGUGAUUUCUCUAAGGCAUGUUACUACAUCAAAAACAUUAUUUUAAUCGAUUAAUUGUGAACAAGUAAGUGGUGACUAUGAUUAAGUACGUGCUUAAGUGUGAAGAUGACUCAAAUCUGUGGGGAUAAUAAUUUUUAACAUGUCAUGUGCAUUGGAAAUCCCUGAGGCAAAUGUUGGAAGGUUUAGGUUGUGUUUUUUUUACUUUGUUUCGUUUUAUCUCUUUGUUUUGCUCGAGGACUAGCAAAAGCUAAGUGUGGGGGAAUUUGAUAGGAGCAUAUUUAUGCGACUUAGUUGGCUUGUUCUUGUCAUUUAUGUCGUGUUUCCUUAGUUAUUUUAAUGUUUAAAGUCAUUUUCGUGUGUUUUCAGAUUUUAUGGACAAAGUAGGCAAGAAGAUGCAUUUUGGAGCAAAAUGGAGCUUGGAAUGCAUGUCACAUAUUUGGGCCAAAGUGGAUGGACGAAUUUGAGAACUAAAGAGGCCAAGAAUGUGAAGAAUUAUGGUCCAAAAGAUGAAGAACUCAGCCCAAAAAUUUGUCACCCAAACUUGCCUUCAUUGCCAUGCAA
rnacentral:lncRNA from 1 species